rnacentral:rRNA from 1 species
UGGGGAAUAUUGCACAAUGGGCGCAAGCCUGAUGCAGCAACGCCGCGUGAACGAAGAAGGUCUUCGGAUUGUAAAGUUCUGUCCUUAGGGAAGAAGAAAGUGACGGUACCUAAGGAGGAAGCCCCGGCUAACUACGUGCCAGCAGCCGCGGUAAUACGUAGGGGGCAAGCGUUAUCCGGAAUGAUUGGGCGUAAAGAGUACGUAGGUGGUUUUGUAAGCGCGGGGUGAAAGGCAGUGGCUUAACCAUUGUAAGCCUUGCGAACUGCGAGACUUGAGUGCAGGAGAGGAAAGCGGAAUUCCUAGUGUAGCGGUGAAAUGCUUAGAUAUUAGGAGGAACACCAGUGGCGAAGGCGGCUUUCUGGACUGUAACUGACACUGAGGUACGAAAGCGUGGGGAGCAAAACAGGAUUAGAUACC